CCUGUGAAAUGGUGCAGAGAGAGAGAGAGAGAGAGAGAGAGAGAGAGGAUGAAGCAUAGAGAAGGAAAGGGAUGGAGAAUGAGAAGCAGAGAGAAAGAGUAAGAAAGAGGAGGAGAAGGAAGAGAGGAAAAUGCAGAGAAAGAGCGCGACCGAGCUGUUGCAGGAGUGAAAAAGCAACAGGGAGGCUGCAGGGUGUUUGAAUGGACAUGUUCGUACACAACAGCUUUUGCUUUCCUGUCACAUCUGAAAGGGCACCCAGAGGAACUUGCGUGCGUGUGUAUGACUAUGCCUACAUUACGAGAACAUUUUUAUAUUUGCAAAAACCUCCCACAUGUCAACCGAUGCUACAACAGAUGGAGGUUGGUUUAGUGGCCUAAUUCCUCACACAUUUCACAAUUUACUACACUUCACAAGUUAACACCCAUGAGAAAUGGGUGAAAUCAUUGUUCUUUUUUUACAUUGAGUCAGCAACAGCCGUCUUCAGAGGACAACUUUAGUAUUAUAUUAUAAUGGUCCGUUGUAGCUCAGUUGGUAGAGCAUGGUACUUGUAAUGCCAGGGUAGUGGGUUUGAUUCCCAGGAUCACCCAUAUGAAUUGCGUGAGUGGUCUAAACAUGUUGCUUUGGAUAAAAGCAUCUGCUAGAUGUCAUAAGUCAUUAUAUGAUAAGUUAAAUGUUGAUUUCCUCAAAGUGAAUCUGUAGGUCCCUGUGUUGGUGAUGAACAUCUGUUGCUGGGUAAGCCAGACUGCCAAGAUCCCCUUCUUCUCGCCUAGCUCACUCCCAAUGUCAUGAACAUUGCCAAGGAUGCACACGAAGGAGGGGCAGAUGGAGUCACUGCCACCAACACAGUGUCUGGAAUGAUGGGCCUGACAGCACUCCCUGGCCUGGCAUCGGCAAGGGCAAGCGCACCACCUAUGGAGGAAUGUCUGGUAGGUAACACAAACGCACAUGAACACUUUGUCAUGUGCUGUUACCUUACAGAUACAGACAGCUAACGUGUGUGUGUGUGUGUGUGUGUGUGUGUGUGUGUGUGUGUGUGUGUGUGUGUGUGUGUGUGUGUGUGUGUGUGUGUGUGUGUGUGUGAGAUCACACAUUUUUGCUUUUAGCCAGGAUUUGAUGUCCAACUGACGUAAAACAUAGGCAGCCCCUCUCGGUUCUAAAAGGACGGGAGAAGUAUAUUCUUGAGGGGUGUUGUAUUUUUCUGGCCUGUGUCUUUCUUCAGUACCUAAGUAGGCCUGCUAGGAGAGGAAUGAAUCAAUUGUAUGAAUGUAAAAAAAAUGCAUAGGCUACAUUUUUUGUUGUAGGACAUCGAUAAUGUUUCCACAUGACAUUAUGUGCCUAAUCAUAUCAGUUCAUUUCCCUUGGAUUUCAAAUACACUACCAUAAAACAUUUUGGGGUCACUUAGAAAUGUCAUUGUUUUUGAACGAAAAGGAGACUUUCUGUAGGAGACUUUAGGAGACUUUACGUGUUCUGUCGGAGACUUUACAUGUUCUGUAGGAGACUUUAUGUGUUCUUUAGGAGACUUUACGUGUUCUGUCGGAGGCUUUAGGAGACUUUAGCCAGAAAGAGGUGGAGGGGAGGAAAUGUAGGAGGAGAAGAAAAAUAGAAGCGCCUGAGAAACAGGGUGGAGAGAAAGAGCCAUGAAUAUGUAUACGAUUAACCAUCCAUGGAAGAUAUGCAAAAAUAUAUGCUUUGAUUCAAUUCAUCAUCCCAAUUUCAGAGGCUGGCUUUAGUUAAUGAGGAUCAUUUAGCAUGGGUGGAGACAGAAGGUGCUGUCUUUAUCUGUCAACCUAUUGUGUGUGUGUGUGUGUGUGUGUGUGUGUGUGUCCAUACUUAUUUGUGUGCGCUUUCACGCGUAUGUGUGUGUGAGCCCCUCUGGCCAGAUGAAUGUGGACAAGGCUGUACUGUGAUCAAUGAGCGAGAGCUUAGUGGGGGAACCAGGUUAAAUGUAAUGUGAAAAAUGCCUCCAUCUGUCUGCCUGAUCACAGAGCACAGCCAACCCCAUCCUGCAGGGACUCCUGACAGCCAGUUAGAGACUAGAGAUAGAGGGAGCUGGAUUGGACCACAUUGGGGAGUGUGGUAAGGGGGGAACGGUGUGCGUGUGUGAGUGUGCGUGUAAGACCACAUGGGUGGGCAAGAGAUAGCGAUUGGAUGAUUGUCAGUAUGUUUUCUUCAUAUAUAACACUGUAUUUAUUUCUGUUCUGGAGAGAUUGAGGAACAGAAAAACUCUGACAUAUACACAACUACGAAUCUGAAUUUAUCUCAUCUUCU
ensembl:lncRNA